GCUACCCCUCACAGCUAACAUAUGGUGGGAGAAGCGUUGAUCCGUUGAAUUGAAGAAAUGAAAUGAAUCCAAACGUAAUGAGAUGAACAUAAAAAUUCAACAGGCUAUUUUUCGAUUAGAAAGUCGCCAAAGCAACUCUCAAAGUAGUUCAUUGAAUUGUGCUGAAAAUUGUAGUUCUAGUCUGUUUGAGACAUGUUAAUUGUGAUGAAGACUGCGAUAAGUUGAUGAAAACAUGGUAUAAGCUGUAACCUGCCUUUCUCCAUGUCAUCGAUCGUGCUUCUAGUUGGCCAAUGUGGAAAUCAAGUCGGUCACGAACUUAUGCGUUUGAUUGACAAGAGUGAUGCUCACCCUCUGAGCCACAGGGAUGGCAAGCUGAGGUGUGUCUGUGUGGACAGUGAGUCUAAGGUCAUUGGACAUAACUACCGUGAAGAUUCAAGAUCCAGUAAAUUGUACAGGGAAGGAAACAUGAUCAGUGGACUGAGAGGACGAGGAAAUAACUGGGCAUUAGGGUACCAUGGUCUCAGUGGGGAAACUGAAGACACUUCAUUGUUACACAGGGCUAUGGAAAUUGUGAGGAAAGAAGUAGAAAGAUGUGAUAAUUAUGCAGGCACUAUGGUGGUUCAUAGUCUCACUGGUGGCACUGGGUCUGGUCUAGGUUCUCGCUUGAUUGAAACUUUAAGGGAUGCAUACCCUCUGGCCCAUGUCAUGUCUGUUUCUGUAUUGCCCCACUCAGCAGGUGACAGUCCUCUCCAACAUUACAACUCUCUUCUCAGUUUGUCAUCAUUACAAUGUCAUGCUGAUGCAGUUCUAUUGUUUAGCAAUGAUGACAUUCUUCAUCAUAUGGCAGCACACAGUGGACUGUUAACACGACAAAACCCAUCGGGCUCCAUCUCUCUCAAAGACAUGAACCAAUACAUUUCUAUGAGCCUUGCUGGAGUGCUUCAACCUUUGGGAAGCAAACCCAAGCGUUUAAAAGGAAAGCUUAAGGAGAGGGGAGCGAAGGAAACGAUCGGCAGCAAAAAAAGAAACGAAAUAUUUUACAAAAGUACAGAAACAUCGUAUAAAAUGGACACCAUAACAAAACAGCUUUCGUUUUCCCUUAAUGAAUCUCAAGACGAAUCUGAAGUCACUCGCCACAGAGCCGUCUUUGGCAGUAGUCCUGGUUCCGCAUCAUCCAUGUCGUCUAACGACUCCAUUUUUAGUUCAUAUUCGUAUUCAAGCGACACUGACAGCUUAACAGACAUGUCAAGACAACCCAGAUCUACUGCUUCAGCGCUUUUGCGCUACAGAGGAAUCGUAAACCCUCUCGAGAAGAGAACUUUCGAGAGUGGUGAUAGUCGUCAGACUGAAAAUUCUCCACCAGCAGUUGAUGUACCAAGUGGAAAUGAGCCAUGGGAAAUGUUCCGAUCAAUUUGUGCAGAGCCAUCAAAGAAGUUUGCCACAGUACAUCACAUCGCCAAGUCGAAAGUUUCUUGGCAGAGCCUUACUCAGUCACUUAUUCACUCAAUUCGAAGAUAUGAUCGAAACGGUCUGCAGUUCUCAACCUUAGCCUCAUUGCUUGUGGCUCGCGGGGACCAUGAUGGUUCUUUUGCAGAGGUUUGGCCAAAGAUUGAAGAUAAACUGAAAACCUCGCUGGGAUUUGUGGAUUGGAACCCAUUUCCUAUUGAUUUCUGGAUUAGCCGGUAUAACCCUGUUGGUCCCAAAGACUCCCAGUCUCUUACUCUGUGUUUAAACUCAACUAAGAUUGUGGAGACUUUAGAGGACGUUAUGAGGAAGGCAAGAGCGAUGUACGGUGCAGGUGCUUAUCUUCACUGGUUUACCAAACACGGCUGCUCUAAGAAUGACUUUCUGGAUGCAUUUGAAACGCUGGAGUCUGUUGUUGAGGAAUACAAGCUUGGUGUAAGGUGACGUGAACACGGAUCUAAAAUGUGGAGAGAGCCAAGAUCAAUAGACUUGUGAAGCAACUGAAAGGAACACAAUGGAACAUUACACAUGCCUUGACAAGUAUUAAGGACAUCGAUUCAUCGGUAUUCGUGGCCAGGAAUUUUUUUAUGAAUCGACUUUCCGCUGCAGAAUAUACCGAAAAUGUAUAUAACUACUGUUAAACCGAGUUUCCUUUAAUGUGUGGUUUAUUAAGAAAAAGGUGGAAUUUAAAAAAGCAGUGAUGCAAUGAUGCAGGAAAGUAGUGCUCAAGCUCUCAUUUGAAUAGUAACAAACUACGGUCCCGUCCAAGUGCUUCAAACUGCCAUAUGAUAAUCAUGCAAAAUGCUUCACAUUGUAUGCGUUAUUUCUUCGUGAAACUGUUUUUAAUACUUUAAAUAAAUGUUUACUUGUUAACACGGA
rnacentral:misc_RNA from 1 species